AUUUGCUUCAGCAGCAUUUAUAUACUAAAAUUGGAACCAUACAGAGAAGAUUAGCAUGGCCCCUGUGCAAGGAUGAGGCACAAAUACAUGAAGUGUUCCAUAUUAAA